GAUGAACGCUGGCGGCGUGCCUAAUACAUGCAAGUCGAGCGAGCGGAACCAACAGAUUUACUUCGGUAAUGACGUUGGGAAAGCGAGCGGCGGAUGGGUGAGUAACACGUGGGGAACCUGCCCCUAAGUCUGGGAUACCAUUUGGAAACAGGUGCUAAUACCGCAUAGUUUCUUUUUCCGCCUGGAAGAAGAAGGAAAGAUGGCCUUUGCGCUAUCACUGAGGGAUGGACCCGCGGCGUAUUAGUUAGUUGGUGGGGUAAUGGCCUACCAAGACGAUGAUACGUGGCCGACCUGAGAGGGUGAUCGGCCACAUUGGGACUGAGACACGGCCCAG
rnacentral:rRNA from 1 species